CUGGAGAAUAGCCCCUCGAAAGAGGGAUUAAAUACUCCGUAACAUAUUGAUAAGGCAUCUUAUUAAUAUUAUAGCCUUCGGGCGGUUAAAGAUGGGCGUGCGCCUGAUUAGAUAGUUGGCGGGGUAAUGGCCCACCAAGUCUGCGAUCAGUAACUGGUGUGAGAGCACGACCAGUCACACGGGGCACUGAGACACCGGCCG
rnacentral:rRNA from 1 species